UACAGAGGUCUCAAGCGUUGUUCGGAUUCAUUGGGCGUAAAGGGUGCGUAGGCGGCCGGGUAAGUCUGAUGUGAAAUCCCGCAGCUUAACUGCGGAACUGCAUCGGAUACUCUCCGGCUAGAGGAAUGGAGGGGAGACUGGAAUUCUCGGUGUAGCAGUGAAAUGCGUAGAUAUCGAGAGGAACACCAGUGGCGAAGGCGAGUCUCUGGACAUUUCCUAACGCUGAGGCACGAAAGCCAGGGGAGCAAACGGG
rnacentral:rRNA from 1 species